UCAGACGUGGUGUGGUGGGAACACGGCCUCUUAGUGUUGUGGGGGAUUGAGAGGCAGUCCAGGGUUCGAUUCCUUGUGUCUGAG